CAGCUCCGCCGCGCGCGCAUCCGCAAAGCCGUCGCCCACCAGCCGCUGCCUGAAGUAGUCGCAGCGCGCGGACAGGAUGCCGCGGUGGCAGUGGAAGCGGCGCUCGCUCACACGGACGGUGAGGUCUGCGGUGCCGUCGGGCUGCGCGUCCAGCAGCGCACCCAGGUCGGCGGGCAGGCUGCGCGGCGGCGGCGGCGCAGCUACAGCCGGUGCCGCUGCUGUAACAGGCAUCUGUGGCAGUAGCGGCUGCAACCCGAGGUCCAGCAGAAUGAGGCUGUCAGGUGCGCCGAGGGCCAGGAACCCGUUUGGCAGGACGGCGUGGCAUGAAGCACACUCCAGCAACCCCGUCACGAGUGUCUCUACACGGCCUCCUGGUGACACACGGCACAGGCGGUCAGAAUACACGACGUAAAUGGAUCCUUCGGCGUCCACGGCUUGCGCAUUGCCCUGCAAGUCCCCAAACUCUAACUCAGGCCUCGCGCCCGGACCGGCAUCAGUCAGCUCCAGGCGUUGCAAGGCCAGUGGUGUCGCCGCGCCGCCGGAAGCAGCAGCAGCUGCAGUUGCAGGCGCAGGUGCCGGCAGGACAGACUGCGGCGGCGGCAGUGGGAGCGGCAGGCGGUAGAAACCGUCCUUUAUGGCGUACACCACCCACCCGCCGCCUGCACCGCCACCGCCGCCGAUGCUACUGCCGUUGCAGCUGCUUGCGCCCUGACCAUCCCCCGCAGCAGGCCCCUGCUGCUCCUGCGGCUGCGGCUGCGAUGACACGCGGGAUGCGCUGUAUAGGUAGUCAGGUACGCCUGUCAACAAAGUUGUGACCGUGACUGCCGAUGCGGCUGCUACUGCCCCUCCCGCUGCUGCGGCCGUGCCAGCGGGCAUCCGGGGACCUGCCGCCGUGCCACCUGUAGCGGCAGCAGUGAUACCCGCCCACUGCCAUGAUGCUGGAAGCUGCAGCCUCCGGAUGCGACGUAAAUUACCUCCAUCGACGACCAACAGGCUACCGGCGCCGUCGGACACAAGCGUGUGCGGCCAAUAGAAACGGGCCGCUGGGCCCUCGCCGUCCGCUUCGCCUUCUUCCAGUAUGCUUCCCGCCACCAGCUCCACCUCAUCGCCCAGCAGCUUCAGCACUGCCUUACCGCACACAAAGUACAGCGCGGCCGACCAGGGGUCCCAGCAGAAAUCGUUGAAAUCCCUGCGUUCGCUGUUGAAGCACCGCCGUGGCCCGGCGCCACUGCCGCCUGCCCAGAACAGGUCGAUGGGAUCGCCUAGCGAGAAGCCCCAGCGCGCAUCGGUUCCGAGCAGCGGGCGCAGAACCGCAUCGCACACCAAAGCCUGCACACGCUGCUCGUUGCUAGGGUCCAGUCGCAGAAAUACAUCGUCUAAAUUAUUUCCCAAUGGUAAUUUGCAGCCUGCAACGUUUUGCAGGUACUGCAUUAUCUGAUAGCUCUUUCACAGUUUUUCAGGACAGCUUGGUACGCUUGGACAUAGCAUGCUUGAGGAAUGACAGAAAUGUACAUGCGCUGCGCGUAGCAAUUUCUGAGCGCCCGUCCCAUGAGCAUGAGCAUUUACAUGGCGUCGUAGUCCAUGCGGCCCCACUAACUCCUAUGAGUCCGGAGGCGCAUAUAGCAGAACAAAACAGGUUCAGUCCGCUCAAUCGCCCCGCAGUAUGCUAGUACGCAGAGUCUGCACUGAGUACAGGAACUCCCGCCGAUGGUCACAUCUGGAAGCUCCACCGGCCAGAAGCCCAGAACCAGCCCCCAGACCCGGAACAAACCUGUUCUCGGCCCCCCCCCCUUCCCCCAGUGCUUCGCAGUUGGACGCGGCGGUGUUUUGCACAUACAGCCUACUUGACAUGGACAGCACCGCAUGCUACACCGUGCGCGCCACCUUGCCGCACACCAACGACAUUUGUUGACGCACACAUCUGGAAGAUCUGGACGCCCCAACACUGGACGCCCCAACAGCCGCACAGACAUACCAGCCGCAUCCAGCUCCCCAGAAACCACUCCUGUGUCCCCAGAGCGGUUAUGAGGUCCAAUGCGGAUCUCCCUGUUUCCGCUGCAAGUAGGCUACUGAUGGUUUCCGCUCGAGCGCAGCGAGUUGUCGGAAACCAAGGUUUCCUGCGUUCGGAGUGUACGUUGUUGUGGGCCCCGAAGGGGCGUGGCGUGUGUGUUUGUUCAUUGGGGCCCAUGCGCCGCAUGGGCGGUGGGCCCGGUUUAGUAGCGGAGCGCGGGGUCGCGCUCGCUACUUUGCGAGUUUCCUUCUGUCAGUACUGACUACCGUCGUCCCUGACUGCGCGGUCUGCGUGGUCACACGGCGGUUCGGGCUCGCCCUCCCAACCCCGCACGAAGACCGCAGUUCUCUGCUUGCAGGUACCCUCCCCGGCGGCGGAGCCGCCCUCACAACUUGUAACAUGACGCAAUGCAUGGAAAGAUAUGCAGAAUGACAAGCGCGGCCACCUUCUCAGAACAGCCCAGCCGCCUGCACACAGAGCAAGUUGCAACAGCGGCUGUGUGGUCAGUGCCCCAGUGAAGGAGUGUGGCCGUGUAGGGAGUUGUGAGGGCAAUGAUAAGUGACUUGUCAUAUGGUAACCACAAUGCCCAGGACUUGCGGGUACCAUACCGUAGUGCGCUUGCAGGUGCCUGGGGACUCCGCCCUCCUGCCGACCCCCCAAACACCACCACCAACCCCACACGAACCCGCUUCCCACCACCCCCUGCUUCCAACUGCUUUCAAGCUCCCCCUCCCACCUGCUUGAGCUUGUUCCGCCGCCAGGCCGGCAGCGCCACAAACUCCUGGUACGACAGCCCACCGCCACUGCCGCCGCCGCCGCCGCCGCCGCCACAAGCACCUGCGAUCGGGCCGAACGCCGCCGCCCAGUCGUCCGCGCCGAGCCACUGCUCCCUGCAGCCGCCGUCCACGUCGGGCGGCCACGUCAGCCCGGGCGCCAGUGCUGCCAGCGGGUAGCACACCGGCCGGCCUGGGGAGGGGCAGGAGGGAGGGGGAGCGAGGGAGGGUGGAGGGGGGAAGGCGUUCUUAUUGCGACUUGAACCGAGACCCAGAACCCAGCCUGGCUGUCGUUUCCAGUCCCGAGAGGGGGAUGGGACAUACGGGGGCGACCGUGACCGUGACAGUGUGGCAGCACGUGCCUCCCGCCGGGUGACAAGGCCAAGGCGAAAUGAAUGCCACCACAACACAACGCCCACCAUAUACCAUACCAGACGUGCUGUCUUAUGCAUUCUGCGUGCUGCAUCCGUGGCCUCUUCUUCUUGCCACCUUGAUCGUGUCAACCCCAUCUCCCCGGUGUCAACCCUGGCCCCCUGUCAACCGUCUCACCCGCCACGGACGUCUCCUGCCGCGGCGCUGCGGCCUCCGCCGGCGGGGCCUGGCGCUCCCGCACUCGGCCCAGUCCCGCCUUUAUGGAGGCCAGGCAGGACCGCUGCUCCGCCAGCGCGGCCUGUGGAGGGAAGGGGGGCACAGCCUGACAGUAGCCCCUUGAGUGACCCCCCCCUGCAUUCCAAAUGCCUCACUCAUGCCGUGUCUCCCCCCUCCGGCCCCCCUCCCCCUCCGGCCCCCCUCCUUCCCCCUACCGCUAGGCUGUCGUGCACGUCCGGCCCCAGGCAGGCCCGCAGUGUGGCCGCAUCACGCAGCCCCACCAGCGUCUCAAAGCUGCAGCAGGCCAGUGCGGGGGGUCGGGUCGGGUCGGGUCAGGUCGGGUUGUAAGGAAGGAUGAUAUGCGAGUUGCGGGUGAUGGCCAGGAGCGAAAGGUGCUUUGGUUGCUGUUCCUUUGAAAGGCGCAGGUGAGGCAGCAGGUCUGCAAGUAGCGGUUCUUAUACGGUAGCGGCCCACGUGUGCGGCCCCAUCCCACCCCCCUUGGCCCAAUCCGGCCCCAUCCCGCCCCGGAUCCGGCCCCCAUCCCGCCCCGGAUCCGGGCCCCAUCCGGCCCUAUGCCGCCUGUACUGCCCCGCCCCGCCCCUCGCCUACCUGUUGACGGCGUAGCGCAGGCGGGCGGCCGCUAUGGGUGCGAACGCGGCGCCCUCCACCCCCCGCGCCAACGCCAGGAGCUCGCAGCAGUUGUGGACCGAUGAGAUGCGGCGCAGGAUGACCUGAGAAUGGGGGUGGGGGUGGGGGGCAGUGGGGGACGGGCGGGGGGGGAGCUGAGGGGUUGGUGAAAGGUAGACAGGUCAAAUGAUGUCAGGGUGAGAGUGGUGGUGCUGGGCAGAGGGCGAGAGGGGCAUGAGAUAGGGUGUUGGUCUGGUCCAGGGGGCGGCAGGGAAUGCGGCAGGCGGGAGGGUCUGGGGAAGCAAGGGCGGAUGUGGGCUGCUGCACGGCCCAGCCACGGCCGGCCCAGCCACGGCACGGCGUACACACGGCACACGUGUUGCCCCCGGUCAAGCACAAAUGAAGGCACGCAGCCACUCACCCGGUCACAAACUUACUGCAGGCACCGUGGCUCCGAUGGCAGCGCCCCUGCCGCUGUUUGCACCUCCGCCUCCGCCCCCUCCUGCGUUGCCGUGUCGUGUCUGCUGGCCUAUCCCUCCCCACCCAACGGCCAACGAACGGCCCGCCAGUAGAGGCAGUAGAGGCUCCAACGGUGGCGGCCACUGCCGAGCCCCGUCGACCUCUCCCUCGCCGCCUCGAACGCUGGGUCUCCGCAACCGCCGAGACACCGGCCCUGCCCCCAGGCGCCCCGGCUUCCAUGCCUGCAACGCCGACCCAGGUCCUCACAUUGAGCCGGGCCAGGGUACUUCUAGCGGCGCGUGAGCUAAGCUGUGUUUCAAAGGAGUCCAGGAAACUUAGUUCGUGAGGCUACGUAAGUUGUCAGGGCAUGCACCAUCGUGUCGCCCCCCCCCCACGUACCCGCUCUUCCCGAGACACCGUCCACUAGUACCCAAGGCCUCAGCAAGUUCCACCGUAAGCGCCUACUUCAUUCUGGCCUAAUCGCCAAAACAUCCUACGAGUUCUUCAACAACCGUGUCCACAUGCCAACAGACCUAAACUGAAGCUCACAACACGGGAAGUCGGCAUGCGAUUGUAGUUUCCACCUCUCCCUCUCACCUCUCGUGCACGCUUUGCGGCUGCUGCCGGGCCAUGGCGGCCAAGAAAGACCCUGCUGUGCUUCGCUCUAGACCCUAAGAAAGAUGCAUUCCGCUGCUAGGCCCUAAGAUGAAUGCACUGUAUGUACGGCGGAUACCCACACUCUCGAACAGCUAGCCAGCCCGUCAGUCCUGGUGCAGCCAUGCCGCAUAGCCGCUAGCUGCGCCUGGCCCGCUUGGCCCCCGCAUCCGUACACCACACCGCCACCGCGUCCAUCAGCUCUAUCAUCAGCUCAGGCGCCUCUGACACCAGGCGCUUGCGGCCGGCACCCGCCUCCGCCGCCACCUGUUCGUGGUGCUGCACGUACCACGCCUUCAGCUGCGCCAGCAGGCCGCCAAAGCCCUCGCCGCGCGUCUCACAGCAGCCCGCGGCCCACAGCAGCUUGUCAAUCACCGUCGCGGCCGACACGGACUCCGCCACCACCGCCAGCGCCACACCAAGCAGCUCCGGCAGCAGCAGCCGGUCCGCCAGCUCAGCCACGCCGCACGCCUGAUCGACCGCUAUGGUGGCGGUCCCAGUGUACAGCCACCGCAGCAGCAGCGCGAAGGCGUCGGCGUCCGUAUCCGGCAGCUCCAGCUCCGCCGCGCGCGCAUCCGCAAAGCCGUCGCCCACCAGCCGCUGCCUGAAGUAGUCGCAGCGCGCGGACAGGAUGCCGCGGUGGCAGUGGAAGCGGCGCUCGCCCACACGGACGGUGAGGUCUGCGGUGCCGUCGGGCUGCGCGUCCAGCAGCGCACCCAGGUCGGCGGGCAGGCUGCGCGGCGGCGGCGGCGCAGCUACAGCCG
rnacentral:lncRNA from 1 species